rnacentral:misc_RNA from 1 species
UUGUGGAGAAGGACGCCGAAGGUGGGGCUGAUGACUGGGGUGAAGUCGUAACAAGGUAGCCGUACCGGAAGGUGCGGCUGGAUCACCUCCUAACAGGGAGACAAUAAAUUGAUUGUGAUGUCUAAGUGAUUUAUCUUAGGCCGCAAUCCUGUCACCUUAAGGUCGAUCGGUACCUCAGAUUUUUGAAUUAAUUUUAUAAUUAAUCCUUUAAUUUCAGUUCCUAAACUUGUCUAGGUCACACCCAACAAGGGUUUUCUCCUGGGCCAUUAGCUCAGGUGGUUAGAGCGCACCCCUGAUAAGGGUGAGGUCCCUGGUUCAAGUCCAGGAUGGCCCAUUCGUUGUUGGGGGUAUAGCUCAGUUGGUAGAGCGCCUGCUUUGCAAGCAGGAUGUCAGCGGUUCGAGUCCGCUUACCUCCACUGAAACCUACCCUGGUAACUAAAUUUCCGGAGAAAAUUUGUAGAUGUGACUUAGAAUUGUCUACUUUGAAAAGACCCUAGCUUCUUAUCAUCUUUUAAAGUUGAUAAUAUGCUGGGCUCCCGUGGUUGAUUCCAUGAGAUUUCAGUAGAACCUUGAAAACUGCAUAGAUUUAAAAGAAUAAAGCAUCUCAUGGAUGCAUAAUUCUGUUUUGAUAAUUUAGCAAAAACUAAAUUAUUCCUAGAUAGAAUUCAUGUUUAAUUCUUGAGUAAUAGCCGAGCACAAUUGAUUUGUGAUUGUAUAAAGGUCAAGCUACAA